rnacentral:rRNA from 1 species
AGUGAACGCUGGCGGUAGGCCUAACACAUGCAAGUCGAACGGCAGCACAGUAAGAGCUUGCUCUUACGGGUGGCGAGUGGCGGACGGGUGAGGAAUACAUCGGAAUCUACUUUUUCGUGGGGGAUAACGUAGGGAAACUUACGCUAAUACCGCAUACGACCUACGGGUGAAAGCAGGGGAUCUUCGGACCUUGCGCGAUUGAAUGAGCCGAUGUCGGAUUAGCUAGUUGGGGGGUAAAGGCCCACCAAGGCGACGAUCCGUAGCUGGUCUGAGAGGAUGAUCAGCCACACUGGAACUGAGACACGGUCCAGACUCCUACGGGAGGCAGCAGUGGGGAAUAUUGGACAAUGGGCGCAAGCCUGAUCCAGCCAUACCGCGUGGGUGAAGAAGGCCUUCGGGUUGUAAAGCCCUUUUGUUGGGAAAGAAAAGCAGCAGGUUAAUACCCCGCUGUUCUGACGGUACCCAAAGAAUAAGCACCGGCUAACUUCGUG